GAUGAACGCUGGCGGCGUGCCUAAUACAUGCAAGUCGAGCGAACGGACGAGAAGCUUGCUUCUCUGAUGUUAGCGGCGGACGGGUGAGUAACACGUGGAUAACCUACCUAUAAGACUGGGAUAACUUCGGGAAACCGGAGCUAAUACCGGAUAAUAUUUUGAACCGCCUGGUUCAAAAGUGAAAGACGGUCUUGCUGUCACUUAUAGAUGGAUCCGCGCUGCAUUAGCUAGUUGGUAAGGUAACGGCUUACCAAGGCAACGAUGCAUAGCCGACCUGAGAGGGUGAUCGGCCACACUGGAACUGAGACACGGUCCAGACUCCUACGGGAGGCAGCAGUAGGGAAUCUUCCGCAAUAGGCGAAAGCCUGACGGAGCAACGCCGCGUGAGUGAUGAAGGUCUUCGGAUCGUAAAACUCUGUUAUUAGGGAAGAACAUAUGUGUAAGUAACUGUGCACAUCUUGACGGUACCUAAUCAGAAAGCCACGGCUAACUACGUG
rnacentral:rRNA from 1 species